CAGUAGCCGCGGGAAUACAGAGGGUGCAAGCGUUAAUCGGAAUUACUGGGCGUAAAGCGCGCGUAGGUGGUUUGUUAAGUCGGAUGUGAAAUCCCUGAGCUUAACUUAGGAAUUGCAUUCGAUACUGGGAAGCUAGAGUAUGGGAGAGGAUGGUAGAAUUCCAGGUGUAGCGGUGAAAUGCGUAGAGAUCUGGAGGAAUACCGAUGGCGAAGGCAGCCAUCUGGCCUAAUACUGACGCUGAGGUACGAAAGCAUGGGGAGCAAACAGGAUUAGAUACCCCCGUAGUCCCUGUCUCUUAUCC
rnacentral:rRNA from 1 species